rnacentral:rRNA from 1 species
AUUGAACGCUGGCGGCAGGCCUAACACAUGCAAGUCGAGCGGGAACUUCGGAUCUAGCGGCGGACGGGUGAGUAAUGCGUAGGAAGCUACCCGACAGAGGGGGAUACCAGUUGGAAACGACUGUUAAUACCGCAUAAUGUUUACGGACCAAAGUGUGGGACCUUCGGGCCACAUGCUGUCGGAUGCGCCUACGUGGGAUUAGCUAGUUGGUGAGGUAAUGGCUCACCAAGGCGACGAUCCCUAGCUGGUUUGAGAGGAUGAUCAGCCACACUGGAACUGAGACACGGUCCAGACUCCUACGGGAGGCAGCAGUGGGGAAUAUUGGACAAUGGGCGAAAGCCUGAUCCAGCCAUGCCGCGUGUGUGAAGAAGGCCUUCGGGUUGUAAAGCACUUUCAGUAGGGAGGAAGAGUUGAGUGUUAAUAGUACUCAGCUUUGACGUUACCUACAGAAGAAGCACCGGCUAACUCUGUGCCAGCCGCCGCCGUAACAC